rnacentral:rRNA from 1 species
UACGGGGGGAGCAAGCGUUGUUCGGAUUUACUGGGCGUAAAGGGCGCGUAGGCGGCCACCGCAAGUCGACUGUGAAAUCUCCGGGCUUAACCCGGAAAGGUCAGCCGAUACUGCGGGGCUAGAGUGCAGAAGGGGCAACUGGAAUUCUCGGUGUAGCGGUGAAAUGCGUAGAGAUCUGGAGGAACACCGAUGGCGAAGGCAGCCUUCUGGGCCAACACUGACGCUCAUGCACGAAAGCGUGGGGAGCAAACGGG